rnacentral:rRNA from 1 species
CCGGCGCACGGUGAGUAACGCGUAUGCAACUUACCUAUCAGAGGGGGAUAACCCGGCGAAAGUCGGACUAAUACCGCAUGAAGCAGGGGCCCCGCAUGGGGAUAUUUGCUAAAGAUUCAUCGCUGAUAGAUAGGCAUGCGUUCCAUUAGGCAGUUGGCGGGGUAACGGCCCACCAAACCGACGAUGGAUAGGGGUUCUGAGAGGAAGGUCCCCCACAUUGGUACUGAGACACGGACCAA